UUAGAGAAGAUUUUAGUAAAAAUAUUUCUACGUCUACUAUUCUGGUCCUUUUGUUGUCAAAUUCGAUGUUUACAUCAAGCAAUACUAAUCAGUUAGUUUAACAGUUAAGAAAUGGUUAUUAGGUAAACUAGAAUGUUUCUUGUUAUAAAAUACGCAUUUUCGCAAAUUAGAAAUAAAUUUCAAUUAAGAAAAACAAAUGUUUUUCUGCAUUCGUAUCUUCAUAUAAUAACUUGUCUACUGAUAUUAAAAGGUUUGAAUAUUGCUGUAAUCCACUUGUCUGGGUCUUUGUCGGAAAUAAACAUGGAAGAAUGCAUAAAGUUGAUACUACUGACAAACUCUGUUCUGCCGAUGAAAAAACCACGCCAAUAUAUUCAUUAUCAAAAUUGAACAAUUAUAACUUGAACUAUAAUUAUCUAUUUUAUAUCAUAAUCUUAUUUAAAUACUUAAAAGUUUGUAAACACAUUUAGUAUAGAAAUUUAGAUAAAAA